CGUUUUAGUUAAACAUUAGUAAGGCACGUGCACAAUUAGAUGUUAACAUUAGUUAAAAAUCUGAGUUGAGGGUUAUGUUAGAAUUAGAAAGGUUUCUUACCAUUAGUAAAACAUGUGAGCUGAGGGUUAUGUUAGGAUUAGAAAGGGUUCUUAGCAUUCAUAAAAAUCUAAGCCGAGGGGUUAGAAUUAGAAAAGGGUCUUUGGUAAGAACCCUAGGGACUAAACGUGGUUUGGUGAACCAAGAGAGAAUCCGUAAUCCAAAGGUAUUAACUGUAAUCACAGAACGACGAAGAAGUUGGUGGUAAGUGCUUUCAUUUGGUCGACGAAGAAGUGAGGUUAGUCAUUUAUUGUUUUUAAAUUUCUUUCAUUGAAUGUUCGCUUUGCUCUUCCUUGGCUCUUUCGUUGAAUGUUCAAUUUGUUUAGUUUGUGAAUAUAUUUGAAAUGUAGGGCUGGAAAUGGGGUUCGCGGUUGUGUUCCAUCACAUGGGUAGGUUUGAAAGGAAUAUGAGAUUGAAAUAUGUUAGGGGUGAAAUCCAUGUGGUUAAGGGUAUCGAUCCAGAUUUUUGUUCAUUCUUUGAAGCAUUAGGCAUUCUCAAGGAGUUUAAAUACGUUGGAGAUGUUAAACUUUGGUGGAAGGGCCCAAAACAAAAGUUGUUAAACAAUCUAAGGUUGUUGAGUGAUGAUAAGGAGGCAUUAGCGUUGGCUAAGUAUGCAGAGGAUAGGAACGAUGAGGUUGAUAUAUAUGUUCAGCACGUUUUUUGUCAGCCUGAAGUAGUUCAUUUUAUUGCUGGUCCUGGAAUGGAUGAAGAAGUGGGUCAGGCAUAAGUGGGGUUAAGGCACAAUUGGGGGUUGAGGCAGAAGUAAGAGGUGAGGGUGAUGUGGUUGGUGAGUCAAAAGUAAGAGUUGAGGGUGAUCUGGUUGGUGAGGCAGAACAGGGGUGUGAGGCACAAAUGGGCAGAGAGGCACAAUUGGGGGUUGAGGCAGAAGUAGGAGUUCAGGGUGAUUUGGUUGGUGAGGUAGAAUUGGGGAGUGAGGCACAAGUGGGAGGUGAUGAGGAUGGGGCUCGUCAGCCAGAAGUCAUAGUUAAGGAUGUGUCUGAUAAGGAUGAAGGUUUUUUUGUAGAUAAACUAGAUGAUAGUGAAGAAAAAGGGUGGCAGAUGAUGAUGAUGAUGGAUUUGGGAUGGACAUUGAGCCACCUGUUAGAAAUAUUGGGUCUAUUUUGGAUAGGUGGAAAGCAAUGAAACGAAAUUCAAGCACUGUGAGGAGUAAAAAAGAUGUUGGAGCUAGUUCAUUUGUAAGUAAUGUUGAAGUUGGACAACAUGACAUAAGUGAUGAAUAAGAUACUGAUGAGCUGGAUUCAGAUGUUAAUAGUGAUGAGGGUGUUGGUCAUGAUGGGCCCAAAAUUUCCAGAUAUAGAGCUGAAGAUAUGACAAAGGACUUCAAGUUCAAAUUAGGAAUGUGAUUUUCUUCUUUGAAGGAUUUUAAACAAGCAUUAAUGGAGCAUAGUGUUUUAAAUGGUAAAGAAGUUCAAUUUGUUAAAAAUGAUCAGAAGAGAGUUAGGGCUGUCUGUAAAAAAAGGUGGUUUCUUAAUGAUGGCGAGCAAGGUUGGUGGUAGGGAAACCUUUCAGAUUAAGACAUUGGUUGGCGUCAUAGGUGUGACAAGGUUUUUGGGAAUAAAAAUGCUAAUAAGGAUUGGAUAGCACAAGUGUUAGUAGACAGAUUUAUGAAUGUGGGUGUAAUGACAGUAAGUCAAAUUAUUGACGAGAUCAAGAAGACAUACAAUGUUGGCAUAACCCCUUGGAGGGCUGGGAAAGCAAAGCAAAUAGUAAUGGACUGUUUGGUAGGGGAUGGAUAAAGACAAUACAAUCGCUUACAUGAUUAUGUAGUUGGAUUGGUGAGAGUAAAGGCUGGAACAUUUAAAAUUAAGAUAAAUCGGCCUCAAGCAAGUUUUCCACCAAGGUUUGGCUGUUACUACAUGUGCUUAGAAGGUUGUAAGGCUGGUUUUUUGGUUGGGUGUAGGCCCUUUAUAGGGGUUGAUGGAUGCCACUUGAAAACAGCUUAUGGUGGUCAAUUUUUGGUUGCAGUGGACAUGGACCCCAAUGACCAAUAUUAUCCACUCGUAUUUGCUGCUGUAGAGAAUGAAUGUAAGGAGACGUGGAGGUGGUUUCUUUCACUAUUGCUAGAAGAUGUUGGGGACGUUGAAAAUCAUCGUUGGGUUUUUAUCUCAGAUCAACAAAAGGGACUUAUGACAGUAUUUGAUGAAAUCUUGAAUGGGGUGGAUCAUCGUUUCUGUUUGAUGCAUCUGUAUAGCAAUUUCAAGAAGAAAUUUGGUGGUGGGGUAGUUAUCAGAGACCUUAUGAUGGGGGCAACAAAGGCAACUUUCUACGUAGGUUGAAAAAAAAGAUGGUGAGUUAAGAAACAUUAACCCUAAAGCAUAUAAUUGGUUAAUUGGCAUUCCUAGAAGUUCAUGGUGUAAGCAUGCAUUCAACAUUUAUCCUAUAUGCGAUGUUUUAAAGAAUAACCUGUCUAAGUCAUUCAAUAGUACUAUCUUAUUGGCUAGGGAUAAACCAAUCAUUAUUAUGAUGGAAUGGAUUAGGUCAUACACAAUGAGUAGAUUUGCAACACUUAGAGAAAAAUUAAAUGCAUAUUCUGGUACUGUUAUGCCUAAGCCACAAGAAAGGCUUGAUAGGGAAGUGGAAAAAAGUGGGAAUUGGCUUCCAGUGUGGGCAGGGGGUGCUAAGUUUGAAGUAACUCAAGAGUUCACCAUGGAGAAGUUUGUGGUAGAUCUAAGUAAGCAUAGUUGCACUUGUUAUUUUUGGGAUUUGGUGGGCAUUCCUUGUAGACAUGUUGUGGCAACAAUUAACUACAAAGUAGAAAACCUUGAAGCUUAUGCCAUGCGUAUUAUAAAAGGGCUACUUAUAAGGCUUGCUAUAGUCCAAAAAUAACCCUAAUCAAAGGACAAUAACUUUGGCCUAAAAGCAACCAACCUGAACUACUCCCACCCAUAUACAAAACACUACCUGGCAGGCCGAAAAAACUAAGAAGAAGGGAAGCUGAUGAACAUGUCAGUCAUUCUAAACUUUCAAAGAAAAAUCUUAUCAUGAAGUGCAACAAGUGUAAGCAGUUGGGACACAACAUUAGGAGUUGUAGAAAGGGAAUCAGACAUAGAAAGGGAAGAACACACUCUACCUCUUAUUCAACUUGUUUUCGUUUAAACAAUACAAAUCUUAAUCUGUAAUACAUACCCAAUUCACAAGGACAAACAUAAAGAACUCCAACUGUUAGUGGAGCUAGCAGUGCUGCAGGACCAUCUAACUAAAGCUCCACUAGUAGAAGAAGAUCCACACCCAGGGUUGCUACAAACGUGAACCAAGGAGAAAGACCACCAACAACACAAACCAGAAGCAUGGCGGCACAAGUCAUAGGGUCUCAAGCAAGUACUGGAACUUCUGCACAACCCACGUGAAAUUGAAGUAGGAAUCAAACUUUUUUUGUUGGUUUUAAUGGUGGACUACUUUUUUGUACCAGUGGGCAUAAUGAUAGUGGACAACUUUUUGGAUUAAAGCAAUAGUAUAACUUAUUGUAUUCAGAUUUAUGGACCACUUGUUUGGUGUGGAAUACUUUAUUCAGUGUAAUCCUAGGGACCACUUUGACGUUGCAUUCAAACUUUUGUUUUGUGAUAAUUGAUUA